UUUCUUUCCUUUCCCUUCGUUUGUUGAUUUUGUUUAUUCGUCAUUGAUUCGUUUAUUUACCAUUAGAUAUGGUAUUAAUCUUUUUCUUAGACUAGUAAGCCCUUUCUGUGCUUAUUUAGACAGUCGAUCUGAAGGAGUAAACUCCAAUCGUGCGUCGGAGCUGACACACACACUUUUUUUUCGGGUGGUCCAUUUUACCCCACAUAUCACAUAUUGACUUAAAAUGUGAUAAAAACAUUGUAGGGGUCAUAACUUGACGGGAAUCAAAAAAAAUUUUUUAAACUAAUUUUUGAUGGGGGCCUUCGUACCCCAGGGGGCCAUAGCACCCCGGUCUCUCCUACAAAUUAAUUUUAUUUUUUAAAAUUUAUAGUCCAAAAUUGAGAAUAUUGCUGUUUCACAACUGAUGAUUUUCCAUUUAAGAAGAACAAAUAUAGGAAUACCAAGCCUGUUCAUAUUGUGUGAGUCCACGACCUAAUCCUUGUAUGUCGCUAUCUGGAAGGAAAUUGUAUUGUGCUUACCUUCAAUAAAAAAAAAUUUUCAAUCAAUUGUAUGCGAUUAUAAUUCAGCGUUGAUGGCAGCAACUAAAAAGACCUUGAAUUGGGUAUCAUUGAGAGGAUCUUGGUUUCACUACAUAAGAAACGGGUUAAAGUCGCAAAUAAAAUAAGUGAUGCCGCAUGGAAGGAUGCCAACAAAGGAAUAACAUUCGAAGGGGGUGAAAAAAAAUCAUUCGUUUCCAUAAACGGUAAAAUCAUGAUACAAUUGAACCAACUCGAAUCUGGAAAGAUUUCAAUGUCCCGUUUCCUUAAAACGGCGAUUGAACCGAUUUUACAAGAGGAAAUCAUUCUGCAAUUGAAUACACCGCAAUAUGCUCAAGACGAUAGAAAAGUGAAAGCUCUUCCGAACAUAAGACUUAUAAUUGGCAACAAUUAAACGUCUACAGAAACUAAUAGCCCUGUAAAAAAAACCGGGAAUUUUAUCAAAUUUUUUUUUCUCUUUGCUUUAAUUUGUUUGUCUAUUAAAAAUUCAUAAAAGAAUAU